ACGGCAUGCAGGUUAGACGGCGCCGUGACGCGGUUGUUUGAAUGGUAAGGGAAUUGCGCGGAAUUAAAGGGAAUAUAUGCCACAUGCAAACGUGAUUACUGGGAUACGUGGGCGCGUAAAUUAUGGAUCUUGCAUGGUAAGUAAUGUGCAGAAGGUAAAAAAACAUGAAGCAUAAGAUGUUGAAAGAUAUGGCAUAAAACCGAAGCGGCAGAAUAGAUGCAUAAACAUUAUAUACCGAUUGGCGUAAAACGUUGUGUCAUUGUGCGUAAAUUUUAUAUUAUGAAUUUUAGUUUGACAAAGACGUCGCCAUAAUAUCGGGACGGUUUCGGAAAUAAUGGGGAGACCCUUUAAACGUGGAUGCAGUUACUUUAAUAGUAUCCGAGAUUUACUUUCAUUCGGAAAAAAAGACCACUAAGCCUGCAUAACUAAUCGGAGUUGGAGAUGGCCGGCUCUGGAGGGUCGCCGGCGAUGGAAGGAGAUGGCGUUCGUCUUGAUCCAGAGACAGAGGGUGGAGUUGGUGGUAACUCAUUGGUGACACCACCGCCUGCUCUAAUGGGUCCUGAGAUCGCCGAGAUGAACAUAGGGGAAGAAGGAGAACAAAGGGUUCGACCUCCUAUGUCCAAUAUUAGCUCCAGGAAGAUGGAUACGCCACAGAUACUGCGUUCACAUGCAAAAACCAUUGAUCCAACUAUAGUGCCAACGGUAGGGAUGACUUUCAAGGAUGUUGAUGAUGCAUAUAAAUUCUAUAAAAGGUAUGCAUAUGAAGUUGGAUUUCCACUGAAGAAAUACAGAGAGAAGACAUUCAGUAAGUGGAUAAAUUGUUCACGUGAAGGUAAAAGUGCAGCAAAAUCUAAUGAUACACCUAGGAUGAGGAAUAGAUCAUCGGGGCGUACACAAUGCAAAGCUGGAAUAAAAUUUAAAAAAAUAUAUGAUGAUGAAAACAAAAUGGUUGUAGCUACAAAAAUUGAACUGGUAAACUUGGAGCAUAACAUGAGUUCAUAACUGACGAAGCAGAGAAACAACAUUUACGUUGCAACAAAAUUAGGGAUGCUGAGUUCAUAAAUUUUGUGGAUGCAAUGCAUGAUAGCCGAGUGCCGCAGCAUUGCAUAGUUGAUUUCAUAUCAGAAAUGCAUGAUGGGCCGAAGAACGUACCGGUAACAGCUCAAGAUCUGAAAAACAUGAGGGCAGCCAGGAGAAGAGAAAAUUGCUCAAAUGAUGUAGCCAAACUUUUGGCUUUCUUUAGAGAAUGCAAGAAACAGAAUCCACAAUUUUUUUGUGAUUUCCAGCUAGACGAUGAUGGGAAAAUAGUUAGUAUUUUUUGGUCACACGCAAGUAUGCAGGGAGAAUACGCAGAUUAUGGUGAUGCUGUGACAUUUGAUACAACACACAAGACAAAUAUAUAUGAUAAACCACUGGGCAUGUUUGUUGGAGCUAACAGCCAUCUGCAGUGUACAGUGUUUGGAUUUGUUUUGUUGGGAGAUGAAACUGUACAUACUUUUGAAUGGGCUUUCAAUUCAUUCAAAACAUGUAUGGGAUGCGAGGGUCCAAGAGUUAUGCUUACAGAUCAAGAUCCUGCAAUGCCAAUUGCUCUGAGAACUGUAUUUCCAAAAACAGUUCAUAGACUAUGCUUAUGGCAUGUACAGAACAGAUUUAUGCCAUUCCUGAAUGAGAUAUAUGCCAGGUUUGCUGUUAAGGAUUUUAAAACCACAUUCCAGUCUAUUAUACAUCAUCCAUUAACUCCUCAUGAGUUUGAAUGUGCCUGGGAAAUGAUGCUAGAGGAGUUCAAUCUUCAUGAAGAUAUGACUCUACGCAAAUUAUAUGAAAUAAGAAAAGAAUGGAUACUUGCAUUUUUUAAAAAUGACUUCUGUGGGGUAAUGGUAUCUACACAACGAAGUGAGAGCAUGAACAGAUUAGUGAAGCAAUCACAUGUAGAUGCGAACACCCCACUGCAUGAGUUCGCUAAACAAAUGAUGAAAAUGUUGCACAGCAGGAAAAUGAAAGAAUCAAAGGAGGCAUUGGUGAGCAAGGCACCAAGGACAACAGAUACAUUGUAUAGGUUCGAAGUGAGAGUCUCAAGAGCGUACACAAGAGCUGUUAUGAAUAGAUUCGAGGAAUCAAUGAAAUACGCCACUGCAUACAAAAAUAUUAAAGGACCCAGACGGAUGUGAUAAUGAAUGGAUCGUACAGCAUACAAAACGGUCUAACAAAAUUGUGUGGGGACAACAUCAAUUCAAGAUAACAGCAGACAUAGAAGCUGGGGAGUAUACAUGCGAGUGCAAACAGUGGGAACAUACAGGUCUAUUGUGUGUUCAUCUUUUAAGAGCCUUCAUGCAUCUUCAAGUUGAAAAGAUACCUUCAAAGUAUAUAUUGCAAAGGUACACUGUCUCAUCAAGAAAAGAUGUUCCGUUUGAAAGAAUUGAUAAGAGCUUCAGGGGGAAGGAUGGAGUUACUAAAUCAUACAGACAGAAAAUGUUGUUAACGAAAACAAUGAAAGUAGUUCGCCAGGCGUGUAUGUCAAAAGCAGGGUACGAUAAGGCAAUGGAUGUGUUGGAUGAGCUCGAUGUCGUUCUAAGCCGAUUGGAGCCAGAUAUUGGAUGUAAUGAGUCAACAGAUGUUAGUGAUAAUGAGGAAGACAAGGAAGAAGAGUUGAAUAAAAAUAAUGCUGGCGAUGGGAUGGAAGAUGACAAUACAAUUACAUGUCAUAAUAAGGAUUCGCAUAACACCAGGACUGGAUGUGAACAUGCGUUAACAAUAAUAACAACUGGUAACCAGGAGGACAACAUGAGAAUUUCACAUGAGGUUGGUGAUACAAGUUCUCCGUGUCACGUAGCACAUGAACAAAUUGAACAUAUUGCUGCAUCCUCAGAAGCUAAAAAGAGGUUGAAUUUUAAUGUGGAUGUUAUAAAUCUGAGUAUGCCGGAUCGUGCAAGACCAAAGGGCCGGACAAUCAAAAAUUCAGAAGAUAGGGUUAUGAGACUAGGUGUGAAAGGAGAGAAAAAGAAGAAUAGGAGAUGCCAUUUGUGUGGAAUAGCAGAUGGGCAUAACAGCAGAACAUGUCUGUCUGUGGAAGAGAACAGGGCAAGGCUAGCAAAACUGUCUAAUCGAAAGAGAGGACGGCCAGCCGGAUCAAGACUAAACAAUAAAACAACUGCUCCACAGUGGAAUGAAACAUCGACUGCAAAAAAACAUCGUAUUGAUGAAGAAGUGGAAAAUGAAGAAGCCGAUGAGCAUAUGGAUUUGGGCGAAUAAUUUGAAGUGUGACUAAAGAGUGGUCGAUUUAGUAGAAACUUGUAAUAGCACAAUGACUUAUGCUUUAGUUUGUUGGAAAUUAAAUAGUUUGCAUGACAGGGUUA